CAACUCUCUUGAGACAGGUGUGGUGUGAGGUCAACCCCUGAAGAUGCUGAUGCUUCUGCUGCUUCUGAGCCCCAGUUUAGGACUUGGUGCUCUCGUCUCUCAACAUCCAAGCAAGGCUAUCUGUAUGAAUGGAACCUCUGUGAAGAUCGAGUGCCGAGCAAUGGACUUUCAGGCCCAAACUAUGUUUUGGUAUCGUCAGUUGCCGAAACAGGGCCUCACACUGAUGGUAGCUUCAAAUGACAACUCCAGCAUCACAUAUGAACAAGGUUUUACCAGGGCCAAAUUUCCCAUCAACCAUCUCAACCGAACAUUUUCAACUCUGACGGUGAUGAGUGUGCAUCCUGCUGACAGCGGCCUCUACUUCUGCAGUGCUAGUGACACAGUGCUGGGCAGAUCUCAGAGACCCAAACAAGAUCCUCUGCAGCAGCCCCCUCUUUCUCACCCCACCAAACCCCUGGAGCCCUGUGGAAGGAGGUGUAGAGAGAGGAAAACCACAGCUUCCCUUUAA